AUGCCCGGUUCUUGCAACGACAUUAACGUGCUCGACCGGUCACCUCUCUUUGCCAACUUAGCAAAUGGAGAAGCACCACCGGUGACCUUCGAAGCAAAUGGCCGCACCUACAACUAUGGGUACUAUCUUGCAGAUGGGAUCUACCCGAGGUGGAGUACAUUCGUCAAGCCGGUUGCAAAAUCUGAAGGUAAGAAAGAACCUGUCUUUCAUAAUGCACAAGCGGCGGCUAGAAAAGAUGUUGAGAGGGCAUUUGGGAUUUUGCAAUCCCAAUUUGCUAUUGUGCGAGGACCAUCUAGAUUUCGGGAUCAAAAGAUCCUUUGGUACAUCAUGACCGCUUGCGUGAUCAUGCAUAACAUAAUCAUUGAGAACGAGCAUGGAAAACAUUUACAUUGCAACUUCUAUCACUUGAUGGGCAUUCCUAUUAACCCCAUGCGAAAAGAACAGCGCAUCAAACGUUUCAUGAAGGUGUACAGCGAGAUUAGAGACAGCGAUGUGCAUGACCAACUCCAGAAAGAUUUGAUGGAAGAGCAUUGGAAAUGGCAUGGCGAAAGAUCCGCAUAG
rnacentral:rRNA from 1 species